ensembl:lncRNA
AGCAGCUAUGAAUGGCUAGCUGAAGGUCACAUGGCUAGUGAGUUCCCGAACCAGGAUUCAACCUCAGUAAUCCUGUUUCCACAUAUGGAGCUCCUUUUAAUAUGGACACCCUUCACCUGGCCAAAUCCUUCAAGCCCCGUUUCCAUGAAGCUUUCUCUGAAUGCUUUUGCCUUUGAACUCUUGACCCCAUAGAUGAAAAAAUUGAAGUGCAUUAAGGUUCAGUGACUUGCUCAAAGUUGCCCAGUUAGUAACUUUUUUUUUGACCACCCCCCAUGCCAUGUGAUACCUUAGUUCCUUGACCAGGGAUCAAACCCAUGACCUCUGCAUUGGAAGGCAGAAUCUUAACCACUGGACCACUGGUGAAGUCCUAUGGCUCAGUGGUAAAGAAUUCGCCUGCCAAUGCCAGUGACAUGGGUUCGAUCCUGGUCUGGGAAGAUCCCACAUGCCAUGGAGUAGCUAAGCCCAUGCACCACAACUACUGAGCCUGUGCUCUAGUAGAGCCUGGGAGCUGCCACUACUGAGCCCACGUGCUGCAACUACUGAAGCCUAGAGCCUGUGCUCCACAACAAGAGAAGCCACUACAACGAGAAGCCCGCACACCACAGGUUGAGAGUGACCCCCGCUUGCUGCAACGAAAGAAACGCCCUUGCAGCAAUGAAGACCCAGCACAGCCAAAAAUAAAUAAAUAAAUAAAAUGUUUA